GACGAACGCUGGCGGCGUGCUUAACACAUGCAAGUCGAACGGAAAGGCCCUGCUUGCAGGGUACUCGAGUGGCGAACGGGUGAGUAACACGUGGGUGAUCUGCCCUGCACUUCGGGAUAAGCCUGGGAAACUGGGUCUAAUACCGGAUAGGAGCCAUUUUUAGUGUGAUGGUUGGAAAGUUUUUUCGGUGUAGGAUGAGCUCGCGGCCUAUCAGCUUGUUGGUGGGGUAAUGGCCUACCAAGGCGGCGACGGGUAGCCGGCCUGAGAGGGUGGACGGCCACAUUGGGACUGAGAUACGGCCCAGACUCCUACGGGAGGCAGCAGUGGGGAAUAUUGCACAAUGGGCGCAAGCCUGAUGCAGCGACGCCGCGUGGGGGAUGACGGCCUUCGGGUUGUAAACUCCUUUCGCUAGGGACGAAGCUUUUUGUAACGGUACCUAGAUAAGAAGCACCGGCUAACUACGUG
rnacentral:rRNA from 1 species